rnacentral:rRNA from 1 species
UACGUAGGGUGCAAGCGUUAAUCGGAAUUACUGGGCGUAAAGCGUGCGCAGGCGGCUUUGCAAGACAGAUGUGAAAUCCCCGGGCUUAACCUGGGAACUGCAUUUGUGACUGCAGGGCUGGAGUGCGGCAGAGGGGGAUGGAAUUCCGCGUGUAGCAGUGAAAUGCGUAGAUAUGCGGAGGAACACCGAUGGCGAAGGCAGCCCCCUGGGCUGACACUGACGCUCAGGCACGAAAGCGUGGGGAGCAAACAGG